AUGACGUCACUUGUUCCCGAAGCGCUGAGGGGCGGCCAGGCUCGAGAAUGGGGAGCCGGCCCCUCCCGGCUCGGGCUCGGCCGCCCGCCGCUCCCGGAGCCCCCACCCUGCCCGGGGCGCGGGGCCUCCUGCGCGGGGGGGCAGAGGCGGCGGCGAAUCCCAGAGGAGCGGCCCCAGGACGCGGCCCCUAACUCCCCGCGAGGGCCCCGACGGCGGCAGCAGCGCGGCUCCAGUCCCGGGCCCGUCCACGCCGCCCGCGCCGCCUCUUACACCUGCCGGCCCCCGCCCCCCCUCCCCGCCGGCCCGGCCCGAAGCCUGCGGUUCGACUGUUCGAUGCCUAAGCCCGUCGGCGGGGCCAAGCGGCGUCGCCCGCCGCGGGCUCGCUCAGAGCCCGGCCUGGGGGCCUGCGGGGGACCCCGUCCCUCGGCGGGCGCGGAGCUCGGGGCGCGCCCUGCUCUCCCGGCUCGGGGGGCGCGGACGGGCUCGCCGGGAGGGCGGCCGCGGGCGGGUGGCGGUCGCCGCGUCCCCGCUCCCGAGCCGCCGGCAGCGAAGCGCUGCUGCCCCCCGGUGGCCACAGCUGUGCACUGGCGCCCGCGGCCGCUCCCCGAGGUGACGGGACCGGAGGCCGGGUCGAGCUGCGACCUUAGGGCGGGUGACGGGACCCCGCCCUUUCAGGGAAAAGCCAGGCCCUCGCGGUCGGCCGCCCGCGCCAGCGUCGCCUCCCACCCGACUCCCGCCUGGCGUCGCCGCGCCGCGCCCCGAGCGCCUGAGGCCCCGUCUGGCGACAUCACGGCGCGCUCGCGGCUCCCACGGAGCUUUGGGGGGCGCAAGCCCGGCCCUUCUCUGUUCUCACCUGAGGCGCGGGGCUCCGCGGGGGGCACCCGCCUGCACCUCGGUGCGCCGCAAACGAGGCCACUAGGCCUGUCGCCAGGAGGCGGUGACCGGUCAGCGACUCGGAGGCACAGGGCGCUGCGGGUGUGCGCCUCCCGGCCCCUGCGGUCAAGGACGAGCGGCCCGAGGGGGCUCGAGUCGCCGGGCUCAGGUCCAGCCGAGCCCCCACGCCCAGGUCGGAGGGGACGCGUCUCUCCCCGUAGCUGCAGGCCCAGGCCCGGGCCGGCUCCCCCCGACGACCGCAAGACGCUGUACCGCAGGGGCCCGGUGAGCCUGCGCUCCGGGCCCGGGAGUCACGCUUGCGCCGCACCGGCCGUGAAGCGCACCGCAGCUUUCUAG
rnacentral:lncRNA from 12 species